rnacentral:lncRNA from 10 species
UGAAUUUGGCCAGAUGCUGUGGCUCAAGCCUGUAAUCUCAGCACUUUGGGAGGCCGAGGCGGAUAGAUCACUUGAGGCCAGGAGUUCGAGACCAGCCUGGCCAACAUGGUGAAACCCCGUCUCUACUAAAAAUACAGAAAUUAGCCGGGCAUGGUGACACAUGCCUGUAAUUCCAGCUACUCAGGAGGCUGAGGCACAAAAAUCGUUUGAGCCUGGG